rnacentral:lncRNA from 1 species
AGCUUGACUUAUACUUUGGUGAACUUCACUCUUUUCCAUCAGCCGCGCGGAGUGAGCCUAGCUGAACCGGUGCUUGAGUUCCAACCACCUUUGAUGACCCGUAAAGCGACACAUCGCUUCCCUUUGCUUUCUCUUUCUCGAUCUGUUCCUUUAUCCAGAAGUAGGUUAUUCUAAGCCCCUCCUGUUUAACGAUUAUGGUCAAAACAAUAUCAGUAAUAAAAGAAUUAGAUUAUUAUCUUGUCUUUGAGCUACUUAAGUAAAUAAUGUUGGUACCUUCAAUCUCAUAUUAGGAGCCCAACCAAGCUUUUCUUUGAUCAGAUUGUUGUCUGAGUUACGACCACGAACACCUUCCGG